UACAGAGGUGGCAAGCGUUGUUCGGAAUUACUGGGCGUAAAGCGUGCGCAGGCGGUUCGUUAAGUCAGCUGUGAAAGCCCCGGGCUCAACCUGGGAAUUGCGGUUGAAACUGGCGAACUAGAAUCUGGCAGAGGGGGGUGGAAUUCCACGUGUAGCAGUGAAAUGCGUAGAGAUGUGGAGGAACACCGAUGGCGAAGGCAGCCCCCUGGGCUGAGAUUGACGCUCAGGCACGAAAGCGUGGGGAGCAAACAGG
rnacentral:rRNA from 1 species